CGAGCGGUAAGGCCUUUCGGGGUACACGAGCGGCGAACGGGUGAGUAACACGUGGGUGAUCUGCCCUGCACUUCGGGAUAAGCCUGGGAAACUGGGUCUAAUACCGGAUAUGACCUCAGGUUGCAUGACUUGGGGUGGAAAGAUUUAUCGGUGCAGGAUGGGCCCGCGGCCUAUCAGCUUGUUGGUGGGGUAAUGGCCUACCAAGGCGACGACGGGUAGCCGACCUGAGAGGGUGACCGGCCACACUGGGACUGAGACACGGCCCAGACUCCUACGGGAGGCAGCAGUGGGGAAUAUUGCACAAUGGGCGAAAGCCUGAUGCAGCGACGCCGCGUGAGGGAUGACGGCCUUCGGGUUGUAAACCUCUUUCAGCAGGGACGAAGCGCAAGUGACGGUACCUGCAGAAGAAGCACCGGCUAACUACGUGCCAGCAGCCGCGGUAAUACGUAGGGUGCAAGCGUUGUCCGGAAUUACUGGGCGUAAAGAGUUCGUAGGCGGUUUGUCGCGUCGUUUGUGAAAACCAGCAGCUCAACUGCUGGCUUGCAGGCGAUACGGGCAGACUUGAGUACUGCAGGGGAGACUGGAAUUCCUGGUGUAGCGGUGAAAUGCGCAGAUAUCAGGAGGAACACCGGUGGCGAAGGCGGGUCUCUGGGCAGUAACUGACGCUGAGGAACGAAAGCGUGGGUAGCGAACAGGAUUAGAUACCCUGGUAGUCCACGCCGUAAACGGUGGGCGCUAGGUGUGGG
rnacentral:rRNA from 1 species